UACGUAGGUGGCAAGCGUUAUCCGGAUUUAUUGGGCGUAAAGGGAACGCAGGCGGUCUUUUAAGUCUGAUGUGAAAGCCUUCGGCUUAACCGGAGUAGUGCAUUGGAAACUGGGAGACUUGAGUGCAGAAGAGGAGAGUGGAACUCCAUGUGUAGCGGUGAAAUGCGUAGAUAUAUGGAAGAACACCAGUGGCGAAGGCGGCUUCCUGGUCUGCAACUGACACUGAGGCGCGAAAGCGUGGGGAGCAAACAGG
rnacentral:rRNA from 1 species